UGAAGCCUGGUUUAGGUUAACCUGAGUUGC
rnacentral:piRNA from 1 species